UUUAACAUUUCAUUGGUUCAAUUUGUUCAGACAGAUUCUACAGUAAACUCGGAGGCUAUUUUUACCCUCCCGCCGGGCGCAUACCCGGCGGAAGCAACAGGAGAUCGUACGCAGGGUGGGUAUAUAUAUACAGCACACGCAGCAAGCAUGACUGGAUUACAUGAUAAUGAUCCUUCCGCAGGUUCACCUACGGAAA
rnacentral:misc_RNA from 1 species